ACAUAAGUAACGAUAAAGCGGGUGAAAAGCCCGCUCGCCGGAAGACCAAGGGUUCCUGUCCAACGUUAAUCGGGGCAGGGUGAGUCGACCCCUAAGGCGAGGCCGAAAGGCGUAGUCGAUGGGAAACGGGUUAAUAUUCCCGUACUUGGUGUUACUGCGAAGGGGGGACGGAGAAGGCUAUGUUGGCCGGGCGACGGUUGUCCCGGUUUAAGCGUGUAGGCUGGUUUUCCAGGCAAAUCCGGAAAAUCAAGGCUGAGGCGUGACGACG
rnacentral:rRNA from 1 species